UCCGGUUUGUCACCGGCAGUCUCACUAGAGUGCCCGUUUCCGUAGCAACUAGUGACAAGGGUUGCGCUCGUUGCGGGACUUAACCCAACAUCUCACGACACGAGCUGACGACAGCCAUGCAGCACCUGUGUCCAGGCUCCCUUUCGGGCACGUCCACCUCUCAGCAGACUUCCUGGCAUGUCAAGGGUAGGUAAGGUUCUUCGCGUUGCAUCGAAUUAAUCCACAUCAUCCACCGCUUGUGCGGGUCCCCGUCAAUUCCUUUGAGUUUUAAUCUUGCGACCGUACUCCCCAGGCGGUCAACUUCACGCGUUAGCUGCGGUACUGAGAAAUCGCUUCCCCAACACCUAGUUGACAUCGUUUAGGGCGUGGACUAC
rnacentral:misc_RNA from 1 species